UACGGGGGGGGCAAGCGUUGUUCGGAAUUACUGGGCGUAAAGGGCUCGUAGGCGGCCAACUAAGUCAGACGUGAAAUCCCUAGGCUCAACCUAGGAACUGCGUCUGAUACUGGAUGGCUUGAAUCCGGGAGAGGGAUGCAGAAUUCCAGGUGUAGCGGUGAAAUGCGCAGAUAUCAGGAGGAACACCGGUGGCGAAGGCGGCCCACUGGAUCGGUACUGACGCUGAGGUGCGAAAGCGUGGGGAGCAAACAGG
rnacentral:rRNA from 1 species